UGAUCAGUAAGGCUACUGGCUAUAUUCCAGGACUCAUCUGGUCCUGGGUAUAACCAAAGCAUGACUAUACG
rfam:Rattus norvegicus chromosome 1, whole genome shotgun sequence.